GUGUGAAAUGAUGGCAUACCAUCUUUCGGGACUGACACAUCAUGGAGAUGCUUUUUUUAACUUUACUGAUCACGG